GGCAGUGCGCAAACUCCGCCUCGCACUCGGCCCCGCCCCCAGCCGUCCAGAGACCGCCGCUCCCGACAGUUGGGCGCGAGCGCGGCCUCCGGGCCGGCCGCAAUAAAUGCGGCCGGUCACUGCGCAGGCGCGGGGCGUGCACUUCCCGCUUCCUCCGCGCGGGACCUGGCUCCGUCCAUCUCUGCGCCUGUCCGCAUCGGACGCUCACACCUCGUAGGUCCAGGCACGCAGACACCGCUCCACACCCCGAGGAACGCAUCCGGGACGCGGGCUCGGCGCGCCAUUGUGCACAAAGCCAGCCCCCUCGCAAACACACACCUGUUCAGGUACACACGCCAGGUGGGCCCAACCUGGACACACCGGGCACUAUCAUACCUUAUUAUCUCUCACACAAGAACGCACCCAACAAACACCCAGAGACCCUGGGGCCGUCGACUCCUCCGAGAACAGACACGUUCAGUUGGCCAGCAGUGGGGACCAAGAUGAGCAGGUGUCUGCAUUCGGGAGCCUGGGCUCUGGAGAGAGGGGCAGGUGGCUAUCAAGAUCGUCUCCACUGCCGAGGCCCCUGUGUUCUCCCAAAAGUUCCUGCCUCGUGAGAUACCGUCACUCAAUGCUACCUACAAGCACCUGAAUGUGGUAGGCAGAGACCCCGAAACAGCCCAUGCCCAUCCUGCCCAUGCCCUGCUGCACAGGACCACCCCCUUUCCCACCAGGGACCCUUAUGCUUGGGGCCCAGCCCCAUCCCGAGACCCUGAGCCAAUGCACUGGACAGCCCCUCCCUGGGUGAUAGCAGGGGGGUCCGGCAGGUGCAGCUCUAUGAGACCUACCAGAAUAGCCGGCGCUCCUACUUGGUGCUAGAGCUGGCAGCCCGCGGUGACCUCCUGGAACACAUCAACGUGGUGUUGGACCGCCGCUGCCGCCCGGGGCUGGGAGAGGAGGCGGCCCGCAGGCUGUUCUGGCAGCUGGUCAGUGCCGUGGCCCACUGCCACAGCUCGGGCAUCGUGCGCUGGUGAGGGGGCUGCCCCACCUGCCGCAAGAGGCCCACCUGAGCCCGGGACCAGCACCACUUCCCUUUCCCAUGCAGGGAUCUAAAGUGUGAGAACAUCCUGCUGGACGACCAAGGCCUCCUAAAGCUGACCGCUGAGCCUGUGGCCCAGCCCCACCCCCUUCCCUGGACUCCCUGACUCAUGACCUCAGCCUUCAACUUCUUCAUGAGGCCCACCCAUUUUCAACUGCUGUCCCAGCCAGGACCCCAGCCUCCACCCUCGCCUGCUUCAGACUUUCUUCUAUUGCGUUGAAGACCCAUUUAUUCAUUUGAGAGAGAGAGGAGGGGCAGAGGGAGAGGGAGAAUCCUGAAGCAGGCUCCCUGCUGAGCGCGGAGCCAGACGCAGAGGUGGGGCUCCAUCCCAGGGCCCUGAGAUCCUGACCUGAGCCAAAACCAAGAGUGGGCCACUCAGCUGAGCCACCAGGCGCCCUGCCUGCUUCAGAAUUUUGACCCCCACCUGGCUUGACCUUUAACCCUCCCAGGAGGCCCGCCCCACGCUUGCCUACACUUGUGUUUGCAGACAUCUACACACUCCACAUCUGCCCCACAGCCAUCCGUCCUGAGCCCACUGUCCCUUCCCCUCCUGCUCCUCCCAUGGUCUACUGCUUGCCCGUGCCCCCCUGUGCGCCCCUGGCAGACUUUGGCCUCGCCAACCGGUCGGGCCUCAAGAACUCGCUGCUGAGCACCUUCUGCGGCUCUGUGGCCUACACAGCUCCCGAGAUCCUCAUGAGCAAGGAGUACAAUAGGGAGCAGGCCGACCUGUGGAGCCUGAGUGGUACCCACAGGCUUCCCAGCAUAGGACCCAUGGGGGGGCAAGAGAGGAGGUAUGCCCUGAGGAACCUGUGUCCCCGGGGCAUCGUCCUUCAUGCCGUGGUGACUGGGGAGCUGCCCUUGAAGGGGCACCAGGCCCACCACAUGCUGCACCUGAUGCGCCACGGCCCACCUUCAGGCCAGGCAUGUACCCAGGUGAGGGAGAACAGCCUGUGUCCCUCCCAAAUCCCAGCAUGAGCGACCUGGGUCCAGGGGCGCCUGGGGGGCUCAGUUGGUUGAGCGUCUGCCUUCGGCUCAGGUCAUGACCCCGGGGUCCUGGGAUGGAGCCUUGAGUCAGGCUCCUGGCUCAGCGGGGAGCCUGCGUCUCUCUCUCCCUCUGCCUGUGCUCUCUCUCUCUCUCAAAUAAAUAAGAUCUUACAAAGAGAGAGACCUGAGUCCAGAGAAGGGUCAUCCUGCGGUGAGGGGAGUGGCAGUGGCAUGGGAGGCUGACCUGGCACCCCACUCCCAAUAAAGGCUGGUAAACGGACUGUAGCAAAGAGAAGAGAGGGCAGCGGGGCCGGGGAGGUCCAGACUCAGACUCCUUGUCUGGAAAGGCAGUGGUCCCGGUGAGCUCGGAGCUCCGCACUGGCACAGGGCAAGCCACCUUCCCUCUCUGUGCCUCAAUCUCGUGACUGGUGAAGCAUGGACUCCCUCCAGGCGUUUGGGCGACUGAAUGGGAUUCCUCCCCCAACCUGCCAGCAUCGUUGACAGGGAUGGGCACGCGCAAGAGGGUAGGCAGUGGGAAGCCACAGCUGUGAGCCCUUGCCCACAGAGUGCCAGGACCUGAUCCGGGGCCUGCUACGGCUACGCCCGCAUACACGCCUGGACCUGCAGCAGGUGGCCGCCCACUGCUGGAUGCUGCCCGCCGCGCAGGCCCUCUUCUGCACCAUGCUCCGCUCGGCGCCAGGACCACGCCUGGGCACUACCUGGUCAACUGAGCAGGAGUAGGCCCAGGUGAGGCC